rnacentral:rRNA from 1 species
GUGUCAGCCGCCGCGGUAAGACAGAGGGUGCAAACGUUGUUCGGAUUUACUGGGCGUAAAGCGCGUGUAGGCGGCUUCGCAAGUUGGAUGUGAAAUCCCACGGCUCAACCGUGGACGUGCAUCCAAAACUGCGUCGCUCGAGUCUCGGAGAGGAAGGUGGAAUGCUUGGUGUAGAGGUGAAAUUCGUAGAUAUCAAGCAGAACACCUGCGGCGAAGGCGGCCUUCUGGACGAUGACUGACGCUGAGACGCGAAAGCGUGGGGAGCAAACAGGAUUAGAAACCCCUGUAGUCC